AGAGUUUGAUCCUGGCUCAGGACGAACGCUGGCGGCGUGCUUAACACAUGCAAGUCGAACGGUAAGGCCUCUUCGGGGGUACACGAGUGGCGAACGGGUGAGUAACACGUGGGUGACCUGCCCCUUACUCUGGGAUAAGCCUGGGAAACUGGGUCUAAUACCGGAUGAGACAUGUUUCUGCAUGGGGAUGUGUUGAAAGUUUUUUCGGUGGGGGAUGGGCCCGCGGCCUAUCAGCUUGUUGGUGGGGUGAUGGCCUACCAAGGCUUCGACGGGUAGCCGGCCUGAGAGGGUGUCCGGCCACACUGGGACUGAGAUACGGCCCAGACUCCUACGGGAGGCAGCAGUGGGGAAUAUUGCACAAUGGGCGCAAGCCUGAUGCAGCGACGCCGCGUGAGGGAUGACGGCCUUCGGGUUGUAAACCUCUUUCAGCAGGGACGAAGCGCAAGUGACGGUACCUGUAGAAGAAGGACCGGCCAACUACGUGCCAGCAGCCGCGGUAAUAC
rnacentral:rRNA from 1 species